UCGGGAAUUUUGGGCAAUGGGGGAAACCCUGACCCAGCAACGCCGCGUGAAGGAUGAAGUAUUUCGGUAGUGUAAACUUCGAAAGAAUAGGAAGAAUAAAUGACGGUACUAUUUAUAAGGUCCGGCUAACUACGUGCCAGCAGCCGCGGUAAUACGUAGGGACCAAGCGUUGUUCGGAUUUACUGGGCGUAAAGGGCGCGUAGGCGGCAAUUCAAGUCAUCUGUGAAAUCUCCGGGCUUAACUCGGAACGGUCAGAUGAUACUGCUUUGCUAGAGUGCAGAAGGGGCAAUCGGAAUUCUUGGUGUAGCGGUGAAAUGCGUAGAUAUCAAGAGGAACACCUGAGGUGAAGACGGGUUGCUGGGCUGACACUGACGCUGAGGCGCGAAAGCCAGGGGAGCAAACGGGGAUUAGAUACCCAAGUAGUCCCUGAG
rnacentral:rRNA from 1 species